rnacentral:rRNA from 1 species
UACGUAGGGUGCAAGCGUUGUCCGGAAUUAUUGGGCGUAAAGAGUUCGUAGGCGGUUUGUCGCGUCCGUUGUGAAAGCCUGGGGCUCAACCCCAGGUCUGCAGUGGAUACGGGCAGGCUAGAGUCAGGUAGGGGAGAACGGAAUUCCUGGUGUAGCGGUGAAAUGACGUAGAGAUCGGAAAGAACACCAACGGCGAAAGCACUCUGCUGGGCCGACACUGACACUGAGAGACGAAAGCUAGGGGAGCGAAUGGG